AUCCUCCCGCCUCAUCCUCCCAAAGUGCUGGGAUUACAGGCAUCAGCCACUGCACCCGGCCACAGGUAUAGUCUUAACAUCUACCUCAACACCUAAUUUAUUUCUGUUUUGUCUUGAUUAUAUAAUACUGAUAAAAUUCUUGAUGCACGAAGUAAGUGGCUACAGUGGUAACAGUUUGCUUUGCAAUCUCAGGGAAAUCUUCACUUACAGAAAUAGCAAGAGAAACUUUGUUCUAACAACCAUAUAAAGACAAACUAAUGUGCUGACGUGCACUGUGUUACUAUCUAAAUCAAACAACAUUUAAAAUGGGCCCCUUUUAGUGCCUCUAAUUAUCCCUCAAUAAAGUUGAU